rnacentral:lncRNA from 1 species
CUGGAUAUGAUUUAUGUGACCACAAAAGGAGCAGAACUUAGGUAACCUCUCGUAUCGGAAUGAGACCCAUAUGUUGUCCUUGUUCUUGUCUAAAUUCAGAAAUUUUCCCCUGAGUAGAGCUUUUGUGGAGUCCAAACCUACUCUAAACCGCAUGAAGCUGCUCUGACAUGUGGGGUCAAACUCCAUGAAAUCGCCCAUUGAGUUGGCUAUUUCCUUGCCCAAUCUUUCGCCAUAAGGCUUCACAAGGAGACCUGGGGGGAUCCCGUGUACUUGUACCCAGAAGGGGAUUUUGUGAAAAGAUUCUGUAUUUACUUGAGUCAUAGCAUCAACCUCAACUAGAAUUAGAUAACUUCCUCCGAAGGCCCAUGGUUGCCCUCUAAUUGUUCUAUUCUUUACCGCUUCCGAAUCAAAAUUAAGAAUAAUAAUGCCAUCAGUGUAAUCCUCUACCUUCACACCCGCUUUGCCCUGCCAUAUAGACUCGAACAAGUUCUUCAAUCCAAUUUUGUUUAUAGUUUUUCCUGACAACAGUCUUGCAUAGAUGACUUUGGGGAGAACCGAAGUACUGAACUCCAAUACAUUAGAUGGAUUGGUGAUAACUUCUAACUCAUUGGACUUCAGUUGUAGCUUCCCUAGAUCACCCUCAGCUAAUGG